UCUUGAGCGCGCAAAAGUCAAAAGUUCCUUUAUUUAAGGCGCCAUGAGUUAGAACGAUUCCAGGGUGAUCUAGUUGAGGACCUUCGUCGUGGAUGGACACGGACACGCUCUUUUCAUGAUUGUCGCUCAUUGUGGGAGUGAUCAGGUCAACGCGGCGUUAUGAUUCCACUGCUGCGCGUCGUGUUGGUACACGAAUAUUUUCCGCGACUGCGAGCUCCCGUCUGAAAACAUUAAAUGUUGAAACAAACGAUUGCUGUAAGAAGCGCAUGUUUUCAAUCUUUAAUUUCUUUUUGGUGAGUUGCAUUAUCUCUUGUCCUUCAUUUUAAUAAUUUUUAGAAAAUCAGUUGCAUUCUACGAAUCACUGUAUUCCUUUUCCAUUUUUAAGUUCUCCUUAUUUAAUCUUAAUUUGAAAUAAUUUUUUGUAUUAAUCGAGACUUUUUGAAAAAACAAGUUGCAAUCUUUUUCUGUUCGAUGUGUUAAAUUCUCACUGUUACGUAUAAUGAAGGUGAGAAAGGAUUUUGAAGAAUCAGUCAUGUAUUAGUGCAUACAUACACAUUAGUACGUUAUUGGAAUCAUAUAAAAAGAUAUAAUUGUAUAAUCGCAUAAUCACAUAAUCUUGGAAAGAUAUCAACAUUACACGUAGAAGAUCCAUGUUUAACUUUUGCGUCAUUUUCCUUUUUAUAACGAAGCGUAUAUAUUCGCGUUUAAUCAGCAGCUGGCGUGGCACGAAUUCCUAAUCUGCGAAGAUCCAUUUUCGCGAUCUAACGACGGAAAGUUAAUAAAGAGAACCGCAUCUCCUCUCCCCGUCUCUCUCUCUCUCUUUCUCUUUCUGCCAUCGGAUCAUUCGACAAUGGAAAAAAGACUUUCGACCCUGCUUAAAUAUGUCCGACCGCAAAGCAAUAAAAUAUCUUUAUCUUACUCGUGCCAUUACCCCCUUGAUUCGGAGGGUUCCAAUUUACAUUCCUAUCGGGGGGCUUCGGCAAGAUAAGUCCAUUUAAAUAAAUUAGUAAUGCUAUCUCCUGCUCCGCGGAGACAUAGAACUGAGGAUGAAGGGAGGAGGAGGGGGCGGAUUAAAUAGUAUUUUAUCAAUUUUCACUGCGAUUCGUUACGCGGCGUGAUGCAACGCCAUUCUCCAUUGAAAAUCUCGUUUUGAUCGCGUGUUUUCGCGCGUUACGCAACGAUGAAUCACGGUGUCUGAAAAGUGUUUAGGGUGACCGCAUUGUUACCGUUGCGACCAAAGAUGGCAAAAAAUGGCACAAUAGAAUCGCUGGUUGCCCUGACGUAUUCCAUUAAAUAUUAAAAGAGUUUCUUGCAACGUUUCAAAGAAUCACAUUUUAAAGACCGCAUUUUUUUUCUUUGUUGUACAUGCGCGAGAGGUACGUGUAAUGGAUAAUUUACAUCUAAACCGGAAAAUGCCACGACAACUCACAGUUUACAUAUUUAAAGUACAAUAUCGCCAACAUGCCGUGUCUUUAGUAGAAUCGGAAAAAAUGCAUCGUGCGAGAAAAAGGUCGCUGGAAGAGGAAAACGGGAGAGAGAGAGAGAGUGUGUGUGGGGGGAAGGGACACACGUUUAAUUUUUCAAAACGGACCGUACGACGAGCCUUUUCGCGGGCCGUGACGCCCAUCUCUACACGCAAUUGCCUUUCCCUCCGUGCGUUGGCGUGUGUUGGUAGGACAAUAUAAUGGGGCAUAACAACGGCGUUAACACGCAGUGGCCGACCCCGGACACGACCCGCGACCCACCCCGGAUGAAAUACACCUCUGAUAAUUACUAGAAAUUAAUGCGGCAGCCUUACACAUACCGCCCAUUGUAAGCGAACGGCGCGCGAGUUUAACCGGCGGUCGAGUUUAAGCGACCUCGUAUUUACCUGCGUUAGGGGCGGUAAUCGCCACGAUUCUAACACCAGAUUAGCGAGGCUCGCUUGUAUUAAUUACCUCUACUCGCCACACACAACGGAAGAAUGAAGUGCGCCGGUAAAAUAGAGAAAGAAAGAAAGGAAGAAAGUACAGAAAUGGAUCAUGCGGUUCAAGCCUCUUAGUUACGUAGCUAGAAAUCUGAACAUGUUCUAAACAGAACGGAAUAAUCCCAUUUGGUAUAAAUAAACGGAGACACAUAAAUAACGAUUCUUCUAUAAUAGAUUACUUAGUAAAAUAAUCGAAAAUAUUAAUUUGUUAAAUAAUUAAAGUGCAGAAAUUAUUGUGCUGAAGAUGAUCCGAACGAGGAUCGAAACGUUUAUGUUAAUUUCUGAAUAAUUACAUGUUUUUUAUACACAAGAACAACUGUCGGUUCUAUAAUGAUCUCCGUACAUUCAACUAAUUUAUUAACAUUAUUUUUCGAUAUUAAUUCUUAACGGUCACUGGAGAUCUGUGUGACUCGAAUAAAAGUUUUAGCUAAAUUUUCUCUAUGUUAUUAUUUUAAUAUUGAACUUCUAUCGCUUAUGUAUCGACAGUUUUAAGUUUAGGUG